ACGAGACAGAAAGGAGGAAAGGUAAGUUCAUACUUCAAAAAGGUAAAGCACAGAGACAAUUAUAAAACCCAUGUGCCUUUCUAAGUUACCAAAAUGUGAACACACUCUCUCUGACUUCCUGUAAUUACAUGAGUUUACUUUUUGAGUUUAUCAAAUAAGGAAAGUCAAGUUAAAACACUUGGUCAAAAUUCUCCCCUUAACUCAGCCCUCGGUUUGUGAUGACUCUCCCAAAAAAAAAAGAAAAUAGUACUAAAGCUAUGUGCCAUGAAAAGUAGUGGUAAGAUAACUCCAGUCUGGAAAUCUGGCAUCCCUCAUGACUUGCAUAGUCUACAUAAUCAGAAGAUGACAGCUGAACAUAAAGUCCAAAUAAAGACCGGCAGCAAGAAUAUUUUUCUUCUUCUGUGUUUAAAUUGUGCACCGCCCUCUACGUUUUUUAUUCUCAGGACAUUAUAGGUGAAUUGGUAAAAAAUGAACCAUAAAACCAGUAAAGAUGAUCGAGUUUUCACUGCGUUUCUUGAUGCAGUUAGAAAGGGGCAGGGUCCAUGUCAGCUGCACGGCUUUGGAAGAAAUCUAAAACAUCUAUUCAGUGGCUUAAGAGUGGGCAGGUUUGAGUGUGCACACUGAGAACGCAUACUGACACACCGCCAGCUGUGAAGUGCCUGGGCAGCUCACACCAAUAUUGAGUCAGCUCUCAACCACCCACACAAAGUGGCAUCAUGUGAGAUUAUAAUGUAUGACCCUGAAGUCACACAUUCAUACAUGACUUCUGAGUGAGGUACAACCAAACACACACAACCUUCAAGAGAAAGAAAGCCAAUAUUAACACUCUAUUGUAGAUUUGGCACUAAAAUAUCUGAUUUAUUUUAUUUACAUCUGCUUUAUAAUCUAAAACAGAUUCAGUCUGAAUUUGGAGGCGCUUUAGGAUAUUGCAGUCUACAUAAUACACUAGUUUUAGAUAAAUCUAUACUCAAUCUUCAGAAUUACAUAAAUGUCCAGAAUAAGUAGAUACAUAGAUUAAAUAAUAAAUGUAUCAAGUAAAGUCAGUUUUACUUAACAUGUAGCCCAAAAUCACUAAUAAAAAAAAUAAUAAUAAUACUUAACAAUAAAAAGUAAAGGAAAAAACCUCAGAAAAAGCAACAGAGGAGGGAUGGACCAAUGGCAAUAGAUGAGUACAGAAUAAAACAACAACUUAUAAGUUUAUUUUCAUAAUUUAUGUUGAAAUCAUAAAGAGCUGAAUCCAUUUCUAAACAACUGAUUCAGCUCUAUAUUCAUAAGUUGCAAUACCAUUUAAUAGGAAAUAUAAUUUUGGGGCAAAAGCAAACCACUGCCAAAAAAUGCUUAUUCUUUCUGAAACGUUCAGCAAUCAUGAACUUGGUCAAGACAUGUACGUGCGUUGGACCACUUGUGGGAACAACGCAUAUACGUAUAAGGUGACGUGCCGCCAACGUCUCAAAGUGGGAGGGAUAUCGUCCUACAAAUGUGUGUGAUCUAACCCCCCCACCCUUCUCCAUUCGCCAAAUAACCAGAAACCACUUCGACCACCCUACCCAGGGCAACAACGAGAAACACUGUGCCCAGAGAGCGGAGGAUGAGAGAAAUUAGGAUCACGAGAUGGAGACGGCGAAAUAUCACAGCUGAGGAGAGCUGAAUAUGGCUUGGCAUGGAGUGGAGGUAAUGCAGCACACCCCAGGGCAAGCAGACACAUAACGUUAAGGCACUAACUACAGAGUGUAUGGACACACACACACACACACACACAGCAGAGAGAGACGUUCAAGUGUGAAAUGAGAUCUCUGCACAAUCAGUGGGAGUCGCAGCCAUAAAGCACAUCAAGCUUUUCAGCUUUAAGAUAGACCCAUUCAGGGACACCCAAUGAUGAAACCAAGUAGUGGGUCUAGCAUCUAUGGUCCUCCUCGCCCUGGGGCCCGGCUGCGACCACAAGAAGUAGGCUGGUGGUCCCAGCAGGGGCCGAGGCUCAGACACACCAUUAGCAUGAGGGAAUUAUAGUCAUUACAACUGGAAGGGCAACGGAGGACAAGUGCUUCACUCUGCAGAGGAGGGAGGAGGUUUGGGAAGUUGUGUGAGGGGGGAAACAGACAAAGUGGGAAGCUUUAUUAAUCAGAUAGUUGAGAAUGUAUCCAACAUGUAAUACAUGGAUGUAUUUAUAAAUUAAUAUGUUUAUUCUAGACAUUGCAUUUGAGAUGAAAGUUUCUAUAAUCCAUGCAGGACAGUGUCAUUAGUAAUGACAGUUGGACAGGUGGGUAAGGUGAGUUUUUCAACUGAGAAUCAUCAAGCUGGAAGAGUGGAAAAUCACCUUGAGCUGGAGUUUUACACCAACUGUUUCCAUUUUGGUUUGGUUGUUGUUUAAUAAAUGAUUCAAUAAUGAUCGAAAUAAAAUUCUGCAAUGCAAGUGAACUCCAGGGGACACAUAUUACUUUAAUUCAAGUUAUGUACAGUCUUGAUUGACAUCGAGUUUGAACCCUAUCAUUUUAAUUAGCCUCACUGUUAAUUUAGUGUGUGAAAAUAUGAGAUUUGCUUUUUAAAGAAGAGAAUAUACUUUAGAUCUGAGUUAUUUUUUAGUUAUUUUUUAUAGUAUGUUCUCAAUGUAGUAUUUAUCUCUUAUGAAAAGUAAAAACACAUUCUGUUUUUAAAGAGGUGGUAUUAUGCUUUUGGGCUUCUUCCCUCUCCAUUGAGUUAUAUACCUUUUUUGUGCAUGUAAUAGAUUUGAACUGUGUUACUGUGA